rnacentral:rRNA from 1 species
AUACGUAGGGAGCGAGCGUUGUCCGGAAUUACUGGGUGUAAAGGGAGCGUAGGCGGGAGUGCAAGUCAGAUGUGAAAUACAUGGGCUCAACCCAUGGGCUGCAUUUGAAACUGCAUUUCUUGAGUGAAGUAGAGGUAAGCGGAAUUCCUGGUGUAGCGGUGAAAUGCGUAGAUAUCAGGAGGAACACCGGUGGCGAAGGCGGCUUACUGGGCUUUUACUGACGCUGAGGCUCGAAAGCGUGGGGAGCAAACAGGAUUAGAUACCCUGGUAGUCCACGCUGUAAACGAUGAUUACUAGGUGUGGGGGGACUGACCCCAUCCGUGCCGCAGUUAACACAAUAAGUAAUCCACCUGGGGAGUACGGCCGCAAGGUUGAAACUCAAAUGAAUUGACGGGG